GACCGCUAUGGGGAGCCCCGCCCACAGUGCGCAGCCAUCAGCCAGGCUCUGGGACACUCUGGGGGACUUGGGCGCUCAGUGGGGGAAAUCUAGCUGCCCACGGCAGCGGGAGGGACAGGACAUUUGGGGAGAGCAGGGGUUUAUAUGCUACCUGGAAGCAGUCUGUGAACGUACAUUGGAUGAAGUUAGGGAAUGAAUGAUGGCCUUAGUGGUUCGUGGAGAUGGGGGCACAAUAAGGAGUGGUGGGCUAGGAGAAAGGGAAGCUGUGGAAACCUGCAAGCAGGUUUAAAUCCGAGCCCUACUGGGGCCACCCCAAGGCUUGAAAUCACCUCUCCACUCUGGAUGCUGGAGUUAAGGCUCUCGUUCCUCACCUGGGGUUUGGAAUAUGCCCAGAGUAGGAUUUCAGAGCUGGAAGAGGCCUCAUGUUCUGGAAAAGACGUGUGUGGUCCAAGCCCUCCUGCCUGAGACAGCAGUCAGAGAGGGAAAGACUGCCCCGGAAUGGAUUUAGGAACCCAGGACUCUUGACAAAGACUGCUAAUUCAGCAGCUGGCAGCUGGGGAGCGGACUGCCUGAUUCCUCUGCGGUUCCACAGUUUCUCCAGGGAGGAUUGGAGAGUCCUGGGUGCCUCCCUGUGGGAUGGUGGCACCCUCUGCUGGUCGUGAGCCUUGUGGUGGAACUAUCUCCAGACUCAAAGCCGUCUGGUGCUCGGCGCCACCUGGAAACCUUGCCAUAUUUUGGGAUCCCAUACAGCAUUUGUUCCUCCAGGAGGAUCUGUAGUGAGCUGGUAACUGAGUUCACACUGAGGAAGUUGUGAGGAGGGAGAUGCUGCCGGUUAAAAGUACUCCACAGCACGGCUCCAGAGCUCAGCCUUCUCUGCCCCACCUCCUCUUAUGCCACGCCCCUUGCCUAGCAUCUGUUCCCCUCCUCCAAUUAGCCUUACCCAGGCCUCCUGCCUCUCCAGAAUGUCCCUUACCUCCUCAUGCCUCUUAGCAAAUCCCCUGUGGAUCUGCUCCUGAGAAAUCUAUACUUCGUCUGCAACUUAUGUCGAAGCAGGUGUCUUGUUCCCAGGGAGUUCAUGUUUCCCAGUUCUUUGGCUCCAGCUGCUCCAUCCUAAGAUGGGGUUUAAGGGUGGGGGGAGGGGAGACCUGGGUAGCAUGGGAUUAGUAGAGGCUGUCUAACGGACAAAGCCCCUUCUCACUUCUUUAAGGACAACCCCUUGCCAAGUCUCCCACCAAUCCACAAUUCCCUGUGACCCCACAGACCUGCUUAAGUUCUGGGGAACCCUCGGAAAGUUGGAGCACUAGAGCUGCGAAAGUUCAGACGCUGUAGAGUCCCAGUGAGUCAGUUACUUCAGGGCACAGAACUAGCAAGGAUGAAUAAAUAGCUCUAUGGAUGCC
rnacentral:lncRNA from 1 species